rnacentral:rRNA from 1 species
GUGUCAGCAGCCGCGGUAAUACGGAGGGUGCAAGCGUUAUCCGGAUUCACUGGGUUUAAAGGGUGCGUAGGCGGACAUUUAAGUCAGAGGUGAAAUCCUGCAGCUUAACUGCAGAACUGCCUUUGAUACUAUUUGUCUUGAAUGUCGUGGAGGUCAGCGGAAUAUGUCAUGUAGCGGUGAAAUGCUUAGAUAUGACAUAGAACACCUAUUGCGAAGGCAGCUGACUACGCGAAUAUUGACGCUGAGGCACGAAAGCGUGGGGAUCAAACAGGAUUAGAUACCCUGGUAGUCCACGCCCUAAACGAUGAUUACUCGACAUUAGCGAUACACUGUUAGUGUCUGAGCGAAAGCAUUAAGUAAUCCACCUGGGAAGUACGACCGCAAGGUUGAA